rnacentral:rRNA from 1 species
CUUAACCACUUAAUUAACUAUUAAAAUAUUAAAAGCACUAACAGAACUACAAAGCUACAAAUCAAAACAUUUUACCGCCCCAGUAUGUGUGACAGAAAAGGUACAACUUAAAGCCAUAGAAAUAGUACCGCAAGGGAACGCUGAAAUAGAAAUGAAAUAACUCAUUAAAGCACAACAAAGCAGAGACUAACCCUC